rnacentral:rRNA from 1 species
UACGUAGGGGGCAAGCGUUGUCCGGAUUUAUUGGGCGUAAAGAGCGUGUAGGCGGCCAGACAGGUCCGUUGUGAAAACUCGAGGCUCAACCUCGAGACGCCGAUGGAAACCGUCUGGCUAGAGUCCGGAAGAGGAGAGUGGAAUUCCUGGUGUAGCGGUGAAAUGCGCAGAGUAUCAGGAAGAACACCCGUGGCUAAGGCGGCUCUCUAGUACGGUACUGACGCUGAGACGCGAAAGCGUGGGGAGCGAACAGG